AACGCACAUUGCGCCCUUUGGUAUUCCGAAGGGCAUGCCUGUUCGAGCGUCAUUAUCACCCCUCAAGCCUCCGGCUUGGUGUUGGAUGGUUUGGUGACAGCGCCCCUUUGGGCAACGGUCACCCCUCCCAAAGACAAUGACGGCGGCCUCGUUGGACCCCCGGUACACUGAGUUCCUCACCGAACACGUACUGGAUCAAGGGCCCGCGGAGCACGGUCUGCCUCCCCUCAGGGAGAACUUUUUUCUCAAGGUUGACCUCGGAUCAGGUAGGAAUACCCGCUGAACUUAA
rnacentral:misc_RNA from 1 species